rfam:Microdochium bolleyi strain J235TASD1 unplaced genomic scaffold Micbo1qcscaffold_1, whole genome shotgun sequence.
GGGAGUUUGGCCGAGUGGUUAAGGCGUCGUGUUUAGGUCUUUACGUUAACCCGUGAAACCCGUAACUUCCGCGAUGGGAAACCGCGCAGGUUCGAAUCCUGCAGCUCUCA